rnacentral:rRNA from 1 species
AGGAUGAACGCUGGCGGCGUGCCUAACACAUGCAAGUCGAACGUCCUGUCUCGCAAGAGGCAGGGAGUGGCGGACGGGUGAGUACCACGUGGGUCAUCUACCGUGAGGUGAGGAAUACCGGCGAGAAAUCGCCGACAAGACCGCAUAGGCUCGAUGCAAGUCGAGCAAAGCUCUUUCGAGAGAGGGAGCGCCACACGAGGAGCCUGCGCCCGAUUAGCUAGCUGGUGGAGUAACGGUUCACCAGGGCGACGAUCGGUAGCUGGUCUGAGAGGACGAUCAGCCACACUGGGAUUGAGAACGGCCCAGACUCCUACGGGGGGCAGCAGUGAGGAAUUUUCGUCAAUGGGGGCAACCCUGAACGAGCAACGCCGCGUGCAGGAAGAAGGUUUCGGAUCGUAAACUGCUUUUCGUCGGGGAAGAGAACGGACGGUACCCGAGGAAUCGAGCCCCGGCUAACUACGUGCCAGCAGCCGCGGU